ensembl:lncRNA
GUUAAUUGUCACAUUCACACUACCUAGUUCCAUUGGUUAGUUUUGCAGUGUAAUGAUCAAUAUUAUUAACUGACUAUUCUGCUUUAAGAACUCUUUCCUUUGCCUUUUUCUUUUCCCAUUUGCAAUUUCUUCUCUUUCCUGAUAUCAUACACCCUAGAUGUGAAAUCUCUUCAUAAUUUACUUCUAUCUUUUCUGGCCAAGGGAAUAUUUCUUCAGUCUUCUUGCAGUUCCUGCUUUGAAAAAUUGAGCCAGGCCCCACAUGAUUUCUCCACUACCUCUUGAAGUCUAAGCGUAACAAACUAUAGAGGAAAGAUGUAUAUACUAAAUGACAAGGAGAUGAAUGCUGAAGUUUCCAUGUGCAUUCAAGUGUUUGGUGUUUCUACUCUUCUUCCAUUUGAGAAGACCAUAUAUAUGAUAUUGCUGCCAUUAUAAUGACAUUCUUCAACAAGGAAGAUGCGUCUUUUUAUGGGCAUUGGCACCAUUUACAGGAUCCACAUUUAUGCAAGUCUGUUCUGUAUUUCAUUUAAAUAAAGCCUCCAUAAAAGCUUUGAUCAUUAAUUAUUUAUCCAGCUAGAUUCUUUUACCUUCCCUUUCCUUCUCUUCCCUUCCCUUCCCUUCCCCUCUUUUCUUCAUUUGAAAACAGUUCCCACUUUGUAUGGUUAUAAAAAAAUAAUAAGAUAAAUGUUUAUCAGAGAGCCUUUCC